ACUGAGCGGCGGACGGGUGAGUAACGCGUGGGUAACCUGCCUCAUACAGGGGGAUAACAGUUGGAAACGGCUGCUAAUACCGCAUAAGCGCACAGUACCGCAUGGUACGGUGUGAAAAACUCCGGUGGUAUGAGAUGGACCCGCGUCUGAUUAGGUAGUUGGUGGGGUAACGGCCUACCAAGCCGACGACCAGUAGCCGACCUGAGAGGGUGACCGGCCACAUUGGGACUGAGACACGGCCCAA
rnacentral:rRNA from 1 species